GACGAACGCUGGCGGCGUGCCUAAUACAUGCAAGUCGAGCGAGCGGAACCAACAGAUUUACUUCGGUAAUGACGUUGGGAAAGCGAGCGGCGGAUGGGUGAGUAACACGUGGGGAACCUGCCCCUAAGUCUGGGAUACCAUUUGGAAACAGGUGCUAAUACCGGAUAAUAAAGCAGAUCGCAUGAUCAGCUUUUGAAAGGCGGCGUAAGCUGUCGCUAAGGGAUGGCCCCCGCGGUGCGUUAGCUAGUUGGUAAGGUAACGGCUUACCAAGGCGACGAUGCGUAGCCGACCUGAGAGGGUGAUCGGCCACAUUGGAACUGAGACACGGUCCAAACUCCUACGGGAGGCAGCAGUGGGGAAUAUUGCACAAUGGGCGAAAGCCUGAUGCAGCAACGCCGCGUGAGCGAAGAAGGUCUUCGGAUCGUAAAGCUCUGUCCUUGGGGAAGAUAAAUGACGGUACCCUUGGAGGAAGCCCCGGCUAACUACGUG
rnacentral:rRNA from 1 species